CAUUGAAACACCAAUUCCCAUAUGAUCACCAAAGUUAAGCAACGUUGAGCCUAGUCAGUAGCUAAAUGGGUGACUGCUUGGAAAUACCAGGUGCUGUAA
rnacentral:rRNA from 1 species